rnacentral:misc_RNA from 1 species
GCACCGCUCGAGCCCCAGGGCUCGGUGUUGGGAUGCUAGGGGCUGCGGCCCCCAGGUCCCCAAAGGUAUCGCGCGGCCCCAGGCCCAGGACCCAAGCACAGUAAACACCUCGUUUGAGCUGCUCCGGGAAGCUGGGCCGAGGCGCUGGCCGUAAAACCCCCGACAUGGGCCCCCCCGCGGGCCUGCUGACG